rnacentral:rRNA from 1 species
UACGAAGGGGGCUAGCGUUGCUCGGAAUCACUGGGCGUAAAGCGCGCGUAGGCGGAUAUUUAAGUCAGGGGUGAAAUCCCGGGGCUCAACCCUGGAACUGCCUUUGAUACUGGAUAUCUGGAGUUCGGGAGAGGUGAGUGGAAUUCCGAGUGUAGAGGUGAAAUUCGUAGAUAUUCGGAGGAACACCAGAAGCGAAGGCGGCUCACUGGCCCGAUACUGACGCUGAGGCGCGAAAGCGUGGGGAGCAAACAGG